rnacentral:rRNA from 3 species
CAACUGCAAGUGCUGGAUCACUCGGCUA